rnacentral:rRNA from 1 species
CUACGGAGGAUGCAAGCGUUAUCCGGAUUUAUUGGGUUUAAAGGGUGCGUAGGCGGUUUGCUAAGCGGGAGGUGAAAUGCCGGCGCUCAACGUCGGAAGUGCCUCCCGAACUGGUGGACUGGAAUGACUCUGCCGUGGGAGGAAUGUGUAGUGUAGCGGUGAAAUGCUUAGAGAUUACACAGAACACCGAUUGCGAAGGCAUCUCACGAAGGGUUGAUUGACGCUGAGGCACGAAAGCGUGGGGAUCAAACAGGAUUAGAUACCCUGGUAGUCCACGCAGUAAACGAUGAUGGCUAACCGCUGGUUUAUUCGGAUCAGUGGCCAAGCGAAAGCGAUAAGCCAUCCACCUGGGGAGUACGACCGCAAGGUUGAAACUCAAAGGAAUUGACGGGG